UUUGAACGCUGGCGGCAGGCUUAACACAUGCAAGUCGAGCGGGGGAAGGUAGCUUGCUACCGGACCUAGCGGCGGACGGGUGAGUAAUGCUUAGGAAUCUGCCUAUUAGUGGGGGACAACAUCUCGAAAGGGAUGCUAAUACCGCAUACGUCCUACGGGAGAAAGCAGGGGAUCUUCGGACCUUGCGCUAAUAGAUGAACCUAAGUCGGAUUAGCUAGUUGGUGGGGUAAAGGCCUACCAAGGCGACGAUCUGUAGCGGGUCUGAGAGGAUGAUCCGCCACACUGGGACUGAGACACGGCCCAGACUCCUACGGGAGGCAGCAGUGGGGAAUAUUGGACAAUGGGGGGAACCCUGAUCCAGCCAUGCCGCGUGUGUGAAGAAGGCCUUAUGGUUGUAAAGCACUUUAAGCGAGGAGGAGGCUACUCUAGUUAAUACCUAGGGAUAGUGGACGUUACUCGCAGAAUAAGCACCGGCUAACUCUGUGCCAGCCGCCGCAGUAA
rnacentral:rRNA from 1 species